GAUGAACGCUGGCGGCGUGCCUAAUACAUGCAAGUCGAGCGAACAGACGAGGAGCUUGCUCCUCUGACGUUAGCGGCGGACGGGUGAGUAACACGUGGAUAACCUACCUAUAAGACUGGGAUAACUUCGGGAAACCGGAGCUACUACCGGAUAAUAUAUUGAACCGCAGGGUUCAAUAGUGAAAGACGGUUUUGCUGUCACUUAUCGAUGGAUCCGCGCCGCAUUAGCUAGUUGGUAAGGUAACGGCUUACCAAGGCAACGAUGCGUAGCCGGCCUGAGAGGAUGAUCAGCCACACUGGAACUGAGACACGGUCCAGACUCCUACGGGAGGCAGCAGUAGGGAAUCUUCCGCAAUGGGCGAAAGCCUGACGGAGCAACGCCGCGUGAGUGAUGAAGGUCUUCGGAUCGUAAAGCUCUGUUAUUAGGGAAGAACAAAUGUGUAAGUAACUAUGCAUGUCUUGACGGUACCUAAUCAGAAAGCCACGGCUAACUACGUG
rnacentral:rRNA from 1 species